CCCUUAGAUGUUCUGGGCCGCACGCGCGCUACACUGAAGGCAUCAGCGUGUCCUUCCCUCCCCGAGAGGGGCGGGUAACCCGCUGAACCGCUUUCGUGGUAGGGAUCGGGGCUUGCAAUUAUUCCCCGUGAACCAGGAAUUCUCAGUAAGCGCGAGUCAUAAGCUCGCGUUGAUUACGUCCCUGCCCUUUGUACACACCGCCCGUCGCUACUACCGAUUGAACGUUUUAGUGAGGUAUUUGGAUCGGACCUGAAGGGGUUCACGCCCUUUCUGUGUCUGAGAAGACUCCCAAACUUGAGCGUUUAGAGGAAGUAAAAGUCGUAACA
rnacentral:rRNA from 1 species